GACAGAGGGGGCGAGCGUUGUCCGGAGUCACUGGGCGUAAAGCGCGUGUAGGCGGCUUGGCAAGUCGGGUGUGAAAUCCCGAGGCUCAACCUCGGAACUGCACUCGAAACUGCCUGGCUCGAGUCCCGGAGAGGGUGGCGGAAUUCCCGGUGUAGGGGUGAAAUCCGUAGAUAUCGGGAGGAACACCAGUGGCGAAGGCGGCCACCUGGACGGUGACUGACGCUGAGACGCGAAAGCGUGGGGAGCAAACAGG
rnacentral:rRNA from 1 species